rnacentral:rRNA from 1 species
AGUUCCAGAGCGAACAGCUCAGUAACAUGUAGUCAAUUUACCCUUAGGUCUGGGAUAAUCCCGCUAACGUGGGGCUAAUACUAGAUAGGUAAAGAAUCCUGGAAUGGUUCUUUAUUUAAAGCGCAAGCGCCUAAGGAUAAGACUGCACCCUAUCAGGCUGUUGUUAAGGUAAAGUCUUAACAAACCUAUAACGGGUACAAGCCUUGAGAGAGGAAGCUCGGAGAUGGAUUCUGAGACAAGAAUCCAGGCCCUACGGGGCGCAGCAGGCGCGAAAAUUUCCCAAUGCGCGCAAGCGUGAGGAAGGGAUCUGGAGUGUCUUCUCUUUAGAGGAGACUUUUCUUGAGCGUAAAAAACUCAGGGAAUAAGUGGUGGGUAAGACGAGUGGCAGCCGCCGCGGUAAUACUCGCGCCACAAGUGGUAACCACGUUUAUAGGGUUUAAAGCGUUCGUAGCCGGUCUAACAAGUUCCUAGUGAAAUUCCAUAGGUAACUAUGGAGCUUGCUAGGGAUACUGUUAGACUUGGGACUGGUAGAGGCCAAGGGUAUUCCAGGGGUAGGGGUAAAAUACU